UACGUAGGGUGCAAGCGUUGUCCGGAAUUAUUGGGCGUAAAGAGUUCGUAGGCGGUUUGUCGCGUCCGUUGUGAAAGCUUGGGGCUCAACCCCAAGUCUGCAGUGGAUACGGGCAGACUAGAGUCAGGUGAGGGAGAACGGGAAUUCCUGGUUGUAGCGGUGGAAAUGACGCAGAUAUCAGGAGGAACACCGGUGGCGAAGGCGGUUCUCUGGGCCGAUACUGACGCUGAGGAGCGAAAGCGUGGGGAGCGAACAGGAUAGAA
rnacentral:rRNA from 1 species